AAUUUCCAGAGGGAGAUUAAACAGUAAAAUUGGAAUGAUAUAGAGAAGGUUACAGUGGCCUUUGGAAAAGGACAACAUGUAAGUUUGUGAAGGGGUCCAUAUUUCA